rnacentral:lncRNA from 1 species
AUCAGACAAAAAAACAGAAGAUGCAUGAAGACUGUCAUAGUAAAUUUUUGGUGAUUUAUUUAUUUCUUUGAUAUUCUGUGGCCGGGUUGUCAAGACUCGUAGCGGAGGACUAGGGUUACGGUUUCAUGCAUGAAAAAAUUGAGCAUCUGGAAAAUCUUGAUAUACUUUAGAAGUACUCUAGUGUAUAAUUAUGAUGAUUUAUGAAUGAACUUUUCUUUUAGGUGGGAUAUUAUGAACUGGUUUUAUUUAUUUUUUGAAAACUAAUGAAUGACUUCUUUGAUUCUUCACUCCAUAAUAAAGUAAGCAUGGGGUUGUCAAGUAACUAUAUUGGGAUGUUUCUUUUUCCCAAACAAAGGAUGUAAAUGAGUGUUAGCUUGUUUAAGCUCGCUAUUGCUUAUUAAUAGUUGAACAAAGGUGAGUAGUUGACGAAUCAUAAUAAUGAUCAAUUAAAUUCUUAUUAUAUUAUCUAUAUGAUCUCUUAUACAAAAUGAAAUAGAAAAAGAAAUAAUUCUCCUCUUUCUCUUUAAAGUUUAUCUUAUUUCUUAUUAUUUUAUAAUAUAUUAUCACCACGAAGCUACAAAAUUUGAAAAAAUCUGUUGGUGUUGUAAUGUAACAUUAUUAUUUUUUUAUAAUAUAUAUUUUCUAUCGGUUAUUUAUAAUACAUUGAUUAGAAAAGAAUUUUUUUAUAAUAUAUAUUUUUUAUCUGUUAUUUAUAAUAUAUUGAUUAGAAAAGAAAAUUAAUAAAGAUUAUCGAGCAUCUCUAAAAGAUAGCAAAAGAAUAUUUAUACAUGUUUUUGAAGAAUUUAUCGAACAUAUAGGAAAAUAACAUUAUAUAGUAUAACAAAAUAACAUUAUAUAAUUUCUAAAGAAUUUAUAAAACAUUUCGAAUUCUUGAAGAACUUAUAGAACAUCCUUGAAGGAUAGAAAAAGUUCCUGAAGAAUUUGUAACGCUCUACUAACUAUUUUGUUUAAGGGGAAUAUUUUUUUUUAAUAAAGAUGGAAGUUUGAUAUUUUAGUUAAAAUCGGUCUUCUAAAAUAUUUAUGGGAUGUGUAUCAUUGUUAUUUAAAAUAUCAAAAUUUGCAAAUUCUUAUAUUUAUCAUUGUGUCAAAAGAAUAAAAUUUAUAUGAAGUAUUAUUAUUUCAUGAUUUUUAUCGAGUUAGCAGUUUAAAUUUUAAAUCUAAUAACAACUAAAAGGAAAAUGCAGGAUAUAUUUUGUUAUUAAUUUGAUAUUUUUUAAUAGAUAAUUUUAAGACCGUUCGAGUUUAUUAUUGUGUUAUUUUCUAUUGGAAUUUACAAAUUAACCAUUGUGUCAAAAGAAUAAAGAGUAGAGAAAUUAAAUAAUUAGCAUUGAUGAUUCAAAUUUGUGUUUAUAUAUUGAGUUACGAAAAUUACAGAUUGUUUAUAUAUAUAUAUUAAUUAGUGAUUUUUGAUUGAUGUUGUAUAAUGGUAUGUUAAAUUUUUUAAUUUUUUCUAUGGAUUCAUCUAAGAAAAGUGUUUUCACGCAUAUUUUAUGAAGUUAUUUUUUAUUUCAUAUUGAAUAUUUCAUUAUAAUAUUUAAUAUUUAAUAUUGUGUUUAUGAUGAUUAUUUUAUUAUAAUAUUUAAUAUUUAAUAUUUAUCUAAUUUUUAUUAUUUUAAUUUAUGAUAGAACUAAGAAUGUUAAAUCUUACGAAAUUGGAUUUUGAGACUCUUAAUAUUUCGGGAAAGAACUAUUUGACAUGGGCUAUAGAUGCUAAAAUUCAUUUAAACGCAUAAGGUCGCAACGAUACUGUUUAAGAAGAAAAUACAUCAUUUGAUAAGCAAAAGGCAAAAACCAUGAUAUUCCUUUGCUGUCACCUUCAUAAGGACAUUAAAAAUGAAUAUCUUACCGUAACUGACCUACAUGUCCCGUGAAAAAAUUUGAAAAUAGUUAUCCUAUCAAAAGCUCGAUAGGAUUGGAUGCAUUUACGUUUGCAGAAUUUUAAAAGUGUAAGUGAUUAUAAUUCCGUAAUGUUUAGAAUAACUUCUAAACUAACACUAUGUGAAGCAAAAAUAACUGAUGAAGAUAUGUUAAAAAAAAUAUUUUCCACUUUUCAUGCCUCCAAUGUGCUUCUCCAGCAACAAUAUCAAGAAAAAAGAUUUAAUAAAUCUUCUGACCUAAUAUCUUGUCUUCUUGUGAUUGAGCAAAAUAAUGAACUAUUGAUGAAAAAUCACGAGGCUCAUCCCACUAGUACAACUCCAUUCCCAUAAGUGAAUAUAGCAAAGCACGAUCACUAUGGGAAAAAUCAUGGUCGCAGCCGUGCACGCGCACAUGAUCGUGGUCAUAAUUAUGCUCAUGGUCUUGGUUUUGAUCAUGAUCACAAUGGUAAUCAUAAGAACACGUCUUUCCACCUGAAGUGGAAAAAUAUUGAAAAGAAUGAAAAAGGGGUUAGAGUAGCAAAACCAAUGAAAAUACUUGCUAUUGUUGUGGAGGAAAAAGUCACUGGGGUCGCACUUUUAGUGCUCCAAAGCACCUUAUUAAUCUUUAUGAAAAAUCACCGAAAAAUAGAAAGGCAAUGAUUUAGACUCAGUUUUCGUGCUCCAAAACACCUUAUAAUAAGUCUUUAGGGAUGUUUUGAAUGUUCCUUUUAUGGAUGUUUUGGAUUUUCUUUUUAUGGAUGUUUUGAAUUUUCUUUUCAAAUAAUAAUAAUAAAGUGUGUUUUCUACUUAUUUGUUUACAUAAUUUAUUGUUUAAAUGACUUGUGUCUUUAAAGUGCACUUAUAAUUUAUAUUUAAAAAUUAUUGUUGUUUUUAGAAUGAAUAUUGGCACUAGCACCAAUAAUGAAGAUGUGUGCCUUGUCGAUAGUUCAACAACUCACACAAUUCUCAAGAAUAAAAGAUGUUUCUCUAAUUUAGUGAAUCGAAAGACUGAUUCAGUACUAUAUAUGGCACCUCAAAAAUAAUUGAAGGCUCUGAAAGAUCAAAUGUGUUGUUACGUGGAGGAACAAUAUUGCACAUUGAUAAUGCAUUAUAUUCCCCAAGUCUCGUAGAAACUUAUUAAGUUUCAAAUAUAUUAUAGCCUAAAUGGAUACCAUAUUGAAAUAAGAGAUGAUGGAGGUAUUGAAUAUCUUUGUAUUACAAAACACAAUUCAAACACGAAAUGUGUAAUGGAAAAGCUACCGGCUUUAUUCGCUGGCUUGUACUACACUUAUAUUAGUACAAUUGAAGCACAUACAACCAUUAAUUAAAAACUUAUAAAUAAUGAUAAACUAGAUUGAGACCCGCGCGAUGCGCUGCUAUUAAUUAAUUUUUAUUUAUUUCGUAUUGAGUUUUAUAUAUGUUAAGAAUUUUUAUUUUGAAAAUAUGAACAACAAACUUAUAUUAUAAUAUUUUAUUAUAAAUUAAUGAGACAGUAAUAUGAAUUAAUUACGAAUAAAAACUGUAUAUUUGUAAUUUGAGAAUGACAUAUAAGAUUUUAUUUUAUAAAUUGAAAUAAUUUUAAAAGAUAUCCCAAUUGAUUUAUUUUUUAUUUUUAAUAUUUAUCUCUCUUUUAAAUAUUUAAUUAUAAGACAUAUAUUUAUUUUUAAUCUUAAAUAAAAAUUAAACUUUAUUUUUAAUUAUUAUCUAAUAAAGCAUUCAAUAGCUUUAUAAAUCUAUGUCCAUAAUGUCAAAUUUUAAUUAUAUAUAUAUAUAUAACCAGCAUCUUAGACCAUACCAACUGCUAAGUCCCACAUGAAAAAAAAAAACUUUCCCGUGUUACCCGUCACCUCCCUUUAAAAGAACGCCUCGUAACUAUCUAUAUAGAAACACCUGCACGUGUCUUCGAUCUCUGCCUCCUACCAAAGCAAAAAUACAUUGGUCUGAAUUAAUAAAAUCGAGGAAAAGACAACAACACAACCAUUCUGAAACUAACAAGACAAAGAUUCUACUUUAGAAUAUACCUAUUUAACUUUUUCCUUCACUUUGGACAUCGGCCUGCCACUGAAAUAAUCUAAAAUUGAAUAUGGAUGAAUCAGGGCAAAGAAAUAAAAGAAGAAUCCUUUGAAUUUACAUAGAAACGAUGAACUCCUGCUGCGUGUCCAAACGACGAGUAUUGAUAUGACCUUAUUUGCAAUCUCAUUUUUUGUUGGCCGACUCCGCCUGCUCUAGUUUUCAACAAAAAAAUAAUUCAAUUCAGAAAUAAAUAAAUAAACCCAACCAUUACCUUCCAAAAAAAAAAAAAACCAACAUUGUUCUAGUAAAAAAAACAACAACACGUGACCAAGCCACCGAUAUCCAAACUUCCUCUGCAUUUUCCAAACACACCUACAAAAAGAAAUCACAUUACUCAUUUCAAAACCCUCUCUUGAUGUUCGUUUCCAUUAUUCUUUCCUUUACUUUGAUUCUUACUCCUUCUUCCAACCCUUACCAAAAUUCUCGUUCCCUUCGCCCCUUCAUAUCUGAACCUAAUGGCCUCCAUGAUUUCACAUGGAUUCAGUUUCUGUUUUAAACCCUAAACUUAACCAUUCCCGUCCCUCCUCCCAACCUUCACCCUUUACUCAAAAACCGCACUUUCAAACUCUCCUUCCCCGUAUGCUCUCCAUCAACCCAACCCUUAACCGUCACUUUCGCCGCGCCGGAACACGACUCCGUGACCAAAACAUUGUGGCUUAUUAUAGUUAGAUCAUGAAUUUGAAUUGAAUUGAAUUUGAAUUUGCUGAUGUGUAUUGUGAAUCUGUGUAGGAUCAUGGUCUAAGUUGAAGUGGAGAAGGGGAAUGACGAUGUUGAUGUUGAUGUUGGUUCCGAGGAGGAAUCACAGAACAUGGAAGCAGGCUUUGGAUACUUCAGGAACAGGCUUUGAAGUUCAGGGGUUUCUCAAGAGGCUUAUGAAUUGUACUCGAAGAAGGCGGUCGUUAUUUGAAGGAUACUUCGGAGCAGUUGAAGAUACAUGCUGAUAAGGCCAAACAUGAUUUGAGUGUUGUGGCGAAGGAAAUUACGGAAGAAGGGAAAGAGUAUUUCUUCUGCUGCGGAAAUUCGCCUGGAGUGAAGGAGAUUGUGGAGACUUUUACUUCCCCGGAGGAUGAUCUUAGCAAUGUUUCUGGAGUGGAGGGAUUUUUAUGUUGGGAUACCCUAUGGUAUGUGAUUAUGCGUGUUGUAUGGUAAAUGUAUUUUAGAUGGAAAUUUAUUUAUGAAAUGAAUGAUAUGGUUUCUAACAUAAAGCAGAACUGUUUAGAUGCGUUUAUGGAUGAGGAGUUAUAUUGAUUGUGAAGAAAGUUAUCUAAUAAAGUUUUAUCAAUGUUAUCAAUUGCGGAUGACAGAUUAUGGCUGCUAGCCAAAAACCUGCCAUAGUGAUACAGCGUUAGGGUUGCCUAUGGUGGCUGACACAGAAUCCGCCAUGCAUUUUAGUGUUUGUUAACUUGUUUCUUUAGCUAGUUAUGAGUCUGUUAUUUUUGAGCUGUAAAUUACCUUGUUAUGCAUUUCAAUGCAAGUUUUAAAUAAUUGUUCUGAUGAUUUAAGUAUUGUUGUAUUUAUAUUAUGUUAGAGGGAGUGUGUGAUCUGUGUUAUGAGUAUCACACGGUUAAUGUUUCUUGGCUCACAUUACCAAUCAUAUAUUGGAUAUCGGUUUGACUACCAUAAUAGGACUGGCUCAUUGACCUCAAUAUCUGUAUUGUUCAACGUCAUCUCAUUAAAUAAUUAGUGAAUAUAGAAAUAUAAUGAUAUGGUUUUAUUAAGCUGAAUGGAAAGAUCUUGUUGCCCUUUAACCUCCCAAAUAUCAGUUUUUAAAUAUUAUAUUUUGCAGGUUGCUACUAUCUCUGGGUGGCUUCCUUUCCUUUAUGGUAACCGAAGCCUUGCAGCAAUAAGGUUUGGGGUGAUUAGGCGGUGGUCUGUUGGCUCUAAGCAUUUCAAGUUUGAAAUCAUAUAAAAAAGGACAGCCUUCUUCUCUAGCUUUGAAGGCCAGACAGGUAAGUUCAUAUGCUUUAUAGUAAUAAAAAAUGCUAAAUUUAUUUUUCAACAAAUUUUCGUCCUAAAUUCAUCCGUCCUCGAAGAUUUAAAAAAGAAAUUUCCUACCAGGAUUGGAAGUGGAGAGAGAAUAUUUAGGGUCUGUUUGGUUCAACAGAACCCUCCUAUUUCUGCAACCAAACAGACCCUUUAAUCGGGGAGUUGAAAGACCCUAAUGAAAUGCAAAAUAAAUGUGACCACCUUUGAAUCACCACAAACCCUAAACCUGGCCACCUUGAAUUAACACAAAAACUAAAUGGCCUUAAAUAGGUUGCAUACAAGUCACAAGGAACAUCUUAACUUAAAUGUACAAAUUAACAUUCUAAGUAGAGUAAACAUAGGUAAAGACAGGAGAAUGAGGUUAAAAGUCCGCCCACAGCAGUGUUGUUGAUGGUGGAAGGGCGAAAAUCUGUCAUGCCACGGCGGCCUACGGCGCCACCAUGACAGGCAACCCUUGAUGUGACGGAAGAGGAAUGAGAACCGCCCAGACCCAAGAUUCUAGAGAUCGAAACGCAAAGAAGAAAUUUCAGCUCUACAAUUGAGAGAGGAACAGACAAAAUAAAAAAAAGUGCAAGACUAAAACAGACCCACAUACAGUUUCUGGUCGGGAACAAAGAGGGAAUGAAUGGGAAUUGAGAUGACAAAGGUUUGAUUUGAGAAAAGGUGUGAGACUAGGUUAAAAUGGGGAUGGAAUUUACAGGCCACCCACUAGACCCGCAUUAUUGGUGAACAUCCGAAUUGCAGAAGCAUGUCAAUAUCCCAAGUCUUCGAGUUUCACGGCGAUCCUAUACCAACCGCACCAAGAAAUGAUUUUUCGGUUGAACAUGAUUGGGUAACAGUGUUGAACUGUAGGAUUGUGGAAUCAACCAGUUGAAUGUAAAAUAUUUGUAAACAUAACAAAUAUGUUUGCAUGAGAUCAAUAAUAAACAUAGUUACAAGUUCCAAUUAAUUUAUUGGGUUUGACCAAUUCUAAUUUGUUUUACUUUUUUGAUCUGUUCUCUUUUUAAAAAUAAAAUAUCUGACUAGUAUGUGUUGGAAAUGGCAAUUACGCAUACUGAACAAACAGUAUAAUGCUGACUUGUACUUGUUUGACGAAAAUGUUGCAUAUUUUAGGAUUUAAAUUCUGCUUUAAUUUGUCUUUUGUUAACAAAAGCUAAUACUCAAUAAAAGUGAUCAAAUAUAUUAAUUUGAGUUGAAACAAUCAUUAUUUACAUUCCAAUGAUACUUAACAUGCACUUACUAUUCUAGAUCAUGAUGUUUCUAUUUUUUAUUAUUAGUAGUCUUUUCUUUCAAUUAGCAAUUUCUCCGUAACAAAUCUGAUUUUAAAUUACUUGUUGGGCUUGGCAGCAAUAGCAACUAUCUUGUUUCUGCGGGAGAUUAACUCAGUUGGCAGAGUAAGAGAUAGUUUGUAUUAAACUUUUGUCAAAUUCUAUUUCCAUGCUCAAUAAAAAUGCUAUAUGUUUCUGAUACUACCUGUUCUUGUUUCCUUUUCAGGGAUCAACUUUAUUCACUGCCUUGAUCAGGUUCUUGAAACUUCAUUAUUGUUUUAUUUACAAAUAUAUUAUUUUUAUCUUCAUUUUAGAGUUCUAUUACCCAGCGUUUUCCCAUGCAACCCUUAUCGAUAAUCUCAGCCACUUGCUGUUGUUUCAUGUAUAAUAACAAUUUGUUUGGCAUGCAGUGGUGCGGUAGCGGCGUUUUACGUCUAUAAGACUGGUUUUGGAAGGUAAACCACAAAAGGUUCAAACUUGGAAGUGAAGCAGAAACUAGUUCAGUGAUAAGGUUAGCCUAUUCAGUUUAUAGAUAUCAUAUUCUUAGUACCAAUAAAGUUCAGUUGAACAUAUAAGAAAGUAAUAAUCUUUUCAUCAUAUCCUCCCUUUACACACCGAGUGUAAUCGUUUCCUCUUGCCAUUCAGUGUCAAUUGAAGAUCAGACAAAAAAACAGAAGAUGCAUGAAGACUGUCAUAGUAAAUUUGGUGAUUUAUUUUCUUUGAUAUUCUGUGGCCGGUUGUCAAGACUCGUAGCGGAGGACUAGGGUUACGGUUUCAUGCAUGAAAAAAUUGAGCAUCUGGAAAAUCUUGAUAUACUUUAGAAGUACCUUAGUGUAUAAUAGAUGAUUUAUGAAUGAACUUUCUUUUAGGUGGGAUAUUAAACUGGUUUUAUUUAUUUUUUGAAAACUAAUGAAUGACUUCUUUGAUUCUUCACUCCAUAAUAAAGUAAGCAUGGGGUUGUC